rnacentral:rRNA from 1 species
CCUACGGGGCGCAGCAGUGAGGGAUAUUGGUCAAUGGGGGAAACCCUGAACCAGCAAAGCAGCGUGAGGGAAGACGGUUCUCGGAUUGUAAAACUCUGUCUUCUGUGAAGUUAAUGACGGUAGCAGAGGGGGAAGCUACGGCUAACUACGUGCCAGCAGCCGCGGUAAUACGUAGGGAGCAAGCGUUGUCCGGAUUUACUGGGUGUAAAGGGUGCGUAGGCGGCUUUGCAAGUCAGAAGUGAAAUCCAUGGGGUUAACCCAUGAACUGCUUUUGAAACUGCAGCGCUUGAGUGGAGGAGAGGUAGGUGGAAUUCCCGGUGGAGCGGUGAAAUGCGUAGAGAUCGGGAGGAACACCAGUGGCGAAGGCGUCCUACUGGGCUCUAACUGACGCUGAGGCACGAAAGCGUGGGUAGCAAACAGGAUUAGAUACCCCUGUAGUC